rnacentral:ribozyme from 1 species
UCUUUAUGCUUCACAACGACCUAUUCCUUUUCUCAAGAAACAGGUGACCCAGUAUGGGUUUUACGACAAACCAGCAAGUCAAA